AUUGAACGCUGGCGGCAGGCCUAACACAUGCAAGUCGAACGAGUGGCGGACGGGUGAGUAAUGUCUGGGAAACUGCCUGAUGGAGGGGGAUAACUACUGGAAACGGUAGCUAAUACCACAUACCAUCGGAUGUGCCCAGAUGGGAUUAGCUAGUUGGUGGGGUAACGGCUCACCUAGGCGACGAUCCCUAGCUGGUCUGAGAGGAUGACCAGCGACGCUGGAACGGAAACACGGUCCAGACUCCUACGGGAGGCAGCAGUGGGGAAUAUUGAACAUUGGGCGCAAGCCUGAUGCAGACAUGCCGCGUGUAUGAAGAAGGCCUUCGGGUUGUAAAGUACUUUCAGCGGGGAGGCGUUACCCGCAGAAGAAGCACCGGCUAACUCCGUGCCAGCAGCCGCGGUAAUAC
rnacentral:rRNA from 1 species